rnacentral:rRNA from 1 species
GGGAGUGGCAGACGGGUGAGUAACACGUGGGAACGUACCCUUUGGUUCGGGACAACUCUGGGAAACUGGAGCUAAUACCGGAUACGCCCUUUUGGGGAAAGGUUUACUGCCGAAGGAUCGGCCCGCGUCUGAUUAGCUAGUUGGUGGGGUAACGGCCUACCAAGGCGACGAUCAGUAGCUGGUCUGAGAGGAUGAUCAGCCACACUGGGACUGAGACACGGCCCAGACUCCUACGGGAGGCAGCAGUGGGGAAUAUUGGACAAUGGGCGCAAGCCUGAUCCAGCCAUGCCGCGUGAGUGAUGAAGGCCUUAGGGUUGUAAAGCUCUUUUAUCCGGGACGAUAAUGACGGUACCGGAGGAAUAAGCCCCGGCUAACUUCGUGCCACAGCCGCGGUAAUACCAAGGGGGCUAGCGUUGCUCGGAAUCACUGGGCGUAAAGGGCGCGUAGGCGGCGUUUUAAGUCGGGGGUGAAAGCCUGUGCUCAACCACAGAAUGGCCUUCUAUACUGGGACGCUUGAGUCUGG